AUUGAACGCUGGCGGAAGGCCUAAAACAUGCAAUUCGAGCGAGCGGCGGACGGGAGAGUAUUGGCUGGGACUUGCACAGUCGAGGGGGAUAACAGUUGGAAAGGACUGCUAACACCACAUAAGAUUGGAUUGCGCAGGUGGGAUUAUCUAUUUGGUGAGGUAAUGGCUCACCAAGGCGACGAUCCCUAGCUGGUCUGAGAGGAUGAUCAGCCACACUGGGACUGAGACACGGUCCAGACUCCUACGGGAGGCAGCAGUGGGGAAUAUUGCACAAUGGGGGAAACCCUGAUGCAGCCAUGCCGCGUGUGUGAAGAAGGCCUUCGGGUUGUAAAGCACUUUCAGCGGGGAGGCGUUACUCGCAGAAGAAGCACCGGCUAACUCCGUGCCAGCAGCCGCGGUAAUAC
rnacentral:rRNA from 1 species